rnacentral:rRNA from 1 species
UACGAAGGGGGCUAGCGUUGCUCGGAAUCACUGGGCGUAAAGGGUGCGUAGGCGGGUCUUUUAAGUCAGGGGUGAAAUCCUAGAGCUCAACUCCAGAACUGCCUUUGAUACUGAGGAUCUUGAGUUCGGGAGAGGUGAGUGGAACUGCGAGUGUAGAGGUGAAAUUCGUAGAUAUUCGCAAGAACACCAGUGGCGAAGGCGGCCAACUGGCCCGAUACUACGCUGAGGCACGAAAGCGUGGGUAUCAA